rnacentral:rRNA from 1 species
UACGAAGGGGGCUAGCGUGGGUCGGAAUUACUGGGCGGAAAGGGCGCGUAGGCGGCGUGUCAAGUCAGGCGUGAAAGCCCCGGGCUCAACCUGGGAACCGCGCUUGAGACUGGCAUGCUCGAGUUCGGGAGAGGAUGGUGGAAUUCCCAGUGUAGAGGUGAAAUUCGUAGAUAUUGGGAAGAACACCGAUGGCGAAGGCAGCCAUCUGGACCGACACUGACGCUGAGGCGCGAAAGCGUGGGGAGCAAACAGG